UACGGAGGAUCCAAGCGUUAUCCGGAUUUAUUAGGUUUAAAGGGUGCGUAGGUGGCCUGUUAAGUCAGGGGUGUAAGACGGUAGCUCAACUAUCGCAGUGCCCUUGAUACUGAUGGGCUUGAAUGAACUAGAGGUAGGCGGAAUGUGACAAGUAGCGGUGAAAUGCAUAGAUGUGUCACAGAACACCAAUUGCGAAGGCAGCUUACUAUGGUUUUAUUGACACUGAGGCACGAAAGCGUGGGGAUCAAACAGG
rnacentral:rRNA from 1 species